rnacentral:misc_RNA from 1 species
GAUGAAGAACGCAGCGAAAUGCGAUACGUAAUGUGAAUUGCAGAAUUCAGUGAAUCAUCGAGUCUUUGAACGCACAUUGCGCCCCCUGGUAUUCCGGGGGGCAUGCCUGUUCGAGCGUCAUUAAAUAACCCUCAAGCAUAGCUUGGUGUUGGGCUUUUUUACGUCCUUGACUGGGAUGGGCCUAAAAAUUAGUGGCGAUGGCUUUUUUACUUUCAAGCGUAGUAAAUCUCGUCUUGCUAAAGAGGAAAAAGAUUUUUUUUCUGCCAAAAAUUUUAACAUUUAAAGUUGACCUCGGAUCAGGUAGGAUUACCCGCUGAACUUAAGCAUAUCAAUAAGCGGAGGA